rnacentral:rRNA from 1 species
UACGUAGGGGGCAAGCGUUGUCCGGAUUUAUUGGGCGUAAAGAGCUCGUAGGUGGUUCGGUAAGUCGGAUGUGAAAUCUCCAGGCUCAACCUGGAGGGGUCAUUCGAUACUGCCGUGACUAGAGGUCGGUAGGGGAGUGUGGAAUUCCUGGUGGAGCGGUGAAAUGCGCAGAUAUCAGGAGGAACACCGGUGGCGAAGGCGGGUCUCUGGGCCGAUACUGACGCUGAGGAGCGAAAGCGUGGGGAGCGAGCAGG